UUUAAGUGGGUCUAAUAAAAGAUAUCAGAUUCACCCAAGGAACCUUGUCUGCCUGGGUCCUCAGACCAACGCGGCUACAACCUACACCCCUGUCUUCUUACAUA